GAUGGGCGUCGACCGGCGCACGGGUGAGUAACGCGUAUCCAACCUGCCCACCACUUGGGGAUAACCUUGCGAAAGUAAGACUAAUACCCAAUGAUAUCUCUAGAAGACAUCUGAAAGAGAUUAAAGAUUUAUCGGUGAUGGAUGGGGAUGCGUCUGAUUAGCUUGUUGGCGGGGUAACGGCCCACCAAGGCAACGAUCAGUAGGGGCCCUGAGAGGAAGGUCCCCCACAUUGGAACUGAGACACGGUCCAAACUCCUACGGGAGGCAGCAGUGAGGAAUAUUGGUCAAUGGACGAGAGUCUGAACCAGCCAAGUAGCGUGCAGGAUGACGGCCCUAUGGGUUGUAAACUGCUUUUAUAAGGGAAUAAAGUGAGUCUCGUGAGACUUUUUGCAUGUACCUUAUGAAUAAGGACCGGCUAAUUCCGUGCCAGCAGCCGCGGUAAUACGGAAGGUCCGGGCGUUAUCCGGAUUUAUUGGGUUUAAAGGGAGCGUAGGCCGGAGAUUAAGCGUGUUGUGGAAUGUAGACGCUCAACGUCUGCACUGCAGCGCGAACUGGUUUCCUUGAGUACGCACAAAGUGGGCGGAAUUCGUGGUGUAGCGGUGAAAUGCUUAGAUAUCACGAAGAACUCCGAUUGCGAA
rnacentral:rRNA from 1 species